CUGAAGUUAGGAUUCUCGAAAACGACACCUAAGUUUUCUGGAAAGGAAUGCCACAGAGGGUGAUAGCCCCGUACGGUGUUGACUCGAUACAGAGUCCUAACAUGGAGUCGAGUUGUUUGGGAAUGCAGCUCAAAUGGGUGGUAUGCUCCAUCUAAGGCUAAAUAUUUGCGAGAGACCGAUAGCGAACAAGUACUGUGAAGGAAAGAUGAAAAGAACUUUGAAAAGAGAGUGAAAUAGUACGUGAAAUUGUUGAAAUGGAAGGGUAGGCCGCUAACCAUGUAGGACCGUGUUUGGGGGGAAGAUAAAUGC
rnacentral:rRNA from 1 species